rnacentral:rRNA from 1 species
UACGUAGGUGGCAAGCGUUGUCCGGAUUUAUUGGGCGUAAAGGGAACGCAGGCGGUUUUUUAAGUCUGAUGUGAAAGCCUUCGGCUUAACCGAAGAAUAGCAUUGGAAACUGGAAGACUUGAGUGCAGAAGAGGAGAGUGGAAUUCCAUGUGUAGCGGUGAAAUGCGUAGAUAUAUGGAGGAACACCAGUGGCGAAAGCGGCUCUCUGGUCUGUAACUGACGCUGAGGUUCGAAAGCGUGGGUAGCAAAC